GAAAAGUACUUUGGAGAGAGAGUAAACAGUGCGUGAAACCGCUCAAAGGUAAACGGGUGGAGUUGAACUGCGAUCCUUGGGAAUUCAGCUGGUGAGCAUGACUUGUGCUUGGGCAUAUUGGCCGCCCUUCAGUGUCUGCUUAAUUGCGGGUGCCUGCCUCUGGUGGGUAUGUGUGAUGCGCUUAUCAUGUGCUGCACGCAUUGGAGGGUCUAUGGGUCUGCUUGUCAGUGCACUUUCUCAGGGUGUUCACCACGACCGGCGCUGCCGUCUGUCUGCUGUGGUCAAACUGAUCAGGUCUGAUUAACGUUGGGCUUGGUUGGGUUGGCAGGUGACUCACUGGUCCACUCUGUGGGCUAUGAGUGUUACUAGCCGGCCAUAGUGGAUCUGUACGGUGUGUCGGAGAUGGCGGCUUGGCAUGUGCGCUCUGUCCUUCAGGCGUGGUUGAGUCUGGUCAGCUUGUUGCUAGUUUCGGCUGGUCAGUUGAUGGCUUGAUCAUGUUCAGUUGGCAGCAGUGUGUGUGUCUUAGUUUGGGCCAAUAGUCUGUGGUGUUGUGGUAGACUAUCCACCUGACCCGUCUUGAAACACGGA
rnacentral:rRNA from 1 species